rnacentral:rRNA from 1 species
AUUGAACGCUGGCGGCAAGCCUAACACAUGCAAGUCGAACGAGUGGCGGACGGGUGUGUAAUGUCUGGGAAACUGCCUUAUGGAGGGGGAUCACCUCUGGAAACGGUAUCUAAUCCCGCAUACCACCGGCUGUGCCCAGAUGGGAGUAGCUAGUAGGUGGGGUAAAGGAUCACCUAGGCGACGAUCCCUAGCUGGUCUGAGAGGAUGAGCAGCCACACUGGAACUGAGACACGGUCCAGACUCCUACGGGAGGCAGCAGUGGGGAAUAUUGGACAAUGGGCGCAAGCCUGAUGCAGCCAUGCCGCGUGUAUGAAGAAGGCCUUCGGGUUGUAAAGUACUUUCAGCGGGGAGGCGUUACCCGCAGAAGAAGCACCGGCUAACUCCGUGCCAGCAGCCGCGGUAAUUC